rnacentral:rRNA from 1 species
UACGAAGGGUGCAAGCGUUAAUCGGAAUUACUGGGCGUAAAGCGCGCGUAGGUGGUUUGGUAAGUCAGAUGUGAAAGCCCCGGGCUCAACCUGGGAAUUGCAUUUGAUACUGCCAGACUAGAGUAUGAUAGAGGGAAGCGGAAUUCCAGGUGUAGCGGUGAAAUGCGUAGAUAUCUGGAGGAACAUCAGUGGCGAAGGCGGCUUCCUGGAUCAAUACUGACACUGAGGUGCGAAAGCGUGGGGAG